UAGGGAAUCUUCGGCAAUGGACGGAAGUCUGACCGAGCAACGCCGCGUGAGUGAAGAAGGUUUUCGGAUCGUAAAGCUCUGUUGUAAGAGAAGAACGAGUGUGAGAGUGGAAAGUUCACACUGUGACGGUAUCUUACCAGAAAGGGACGGCUAACUACGUGCCAGCAGCCGCGGUAAUACGUAGGUCCCGAGCGUUGUCCGGAUUUAUUGGGCGUAAAGCGAGCGCAGGCGGUUAGAUAAGUCUGAAGUUAAAGGCUGUGGCUUAACCAUAGUAGGCUUUGGAAACUGUUUAACUUGAGUGCAAGAGGGGAGAGUGGAAUUCCAUGUGUAGCAGUGAAAUGCGUAGAUAUAUGGAGGAACACCGGUGGCGAAAGCGGCUCUCUGGCUUGUAACUGACGCUGAGGCUCGAAAGCGUGGGGAGCAAACAGGAUUAGAUACCCUGGUAGUCCACGCUGUAAACGAUGAGUGCUAGGUGUUAGACCCUUUCCGGGGUUUAGUGCCGUAGCUAACGCAUUAAGCACUCCGCCUGGGGAGUACGACCGCAAGGUUG
rnacentral:rRNA from 1 species